GGGGCUAUAGCUCAGCUGGGAGAGCGCUUGCAUGGCAUGCAAGACCAGGUCAGCGGUUCGAUCCCGCUUAGCUCCACCA
rnacentral:tRNA from 1 species